rnacentral:rRNA from 1 species
GUGACCUCAAAUCAGGUAGGACUACCCGCUGAACUUAAGCAUAUCAAUAAGCGGAGGAAAAGAAACUAACAAGGAUUCCCCUAGUAACUGCGAGUGAAGCGGGAAAAGCUCAAUUUAAAAUCUGGCGGCCUUUUUGCUGUCCGAGUUGUAAUCUAGAGAAGUGUUAUCCGCGCUGGACCGUGUACAAGUCUCCUGGAAUGGAGCAUCAUAGAGGGUGAGAAUCCCGUCUUUGACAUGGAC